GUACGUUCCGAGCGUUAUCCGGAUUUACUGGGCGUAAAGCGCGUUCAGGCGGUUUGGCAAGUCGGGCAUGAAAUCUCUCGGCUCAACCGGGAGAGGUUGUCCGAUACUGCUGGACUUGAGGGCAGUAGAGGGUGGUGGAAUUCCGGGUGUAGUGGUGAAAUGCGUAGAUAUCCGGAGGAACACCAGUGGCGAAAGCGGCCACCUGGACUGCACCUGACGCUGACACGCGAAAGCUAGGGGAGCGAACGGGAUUAGAAACCCCGGUAGUCCUAGCUAUAAACGAUGUUGACUAGGUGUCGACGGUCUAAACCCCGCCGGUGCCGGAGCAAACGCAUUAAGUCAACCGCCUGGGGACUACGGCCGCAAGGUUA
rnacentral:rRNA from 1 species